ACAUCUCAAAAAAAAAAGGCCAGGGAGGGACCGUGCAACCGCAAACGCUUGCCCUUUCCUCCAAGAAAGAAACUAAAACUCCGGUCGAAAAAAAAGAGAGAGAAAGAAACGAAAACAACAGCCGGCCGAAGCCUCCGCUGCGCCGCCGCCGGUACAGGAGCCAAGCAGCGCCUCCCUUCGUCGAGCAGCAACGCCGCCGCCCGGAGCUACGCCGGCGACGAAUACAUAGGGCAUCAACAUUGUCAAUUGGAGAGGCUUGGAGCUGCUUUGGCAUCCACAGUAGAGCAAACAAGAAGUAUCGACAUGGAUUCCAGCACUACACAGUCUGAAGGUUCUCAGCCACCUGUUCCUCCUAAAAGCCCUACCAUGUCGUCGUGCCGGAAGAAGAAAACUGAUGAUGAUGCUACCUUCCUCAAAGAUGUGAAAGAGCACAUUGAUGAGUUCAUCCAUGCCUCCAUGGAUGAGCACAAGACCUGCUUCAAGAAGACCAUCCAGAAGAUGUUCGGGAUGUCAAAGGCUGUUGCGGAGCGGUCCGCUGCAGCAAAGGAAGCUGAAGUCGAAAGUGCUUUGCCUCUUGAGACCAGUGUGUCCCGGUAG
rnacentral:rRNA from 1 species